rnacentral:rRNA from 1 species
GCUCGUAGGUGGUUUGUCGCGUUGUUCGUGAAAACUCACAGCUUAACUGUGGGCGUGCGGGCGAUACGGGCAGACUGGAGUACUGCAGGGGAGACUGGAAUUCCUGGUGUAGCGGUGGAAUGCGCAGAUAUCAGGAGGAACACCGGUGGCGAAGGCGGGUCUCUGGGCAGUAACUGACGCUGAGGAGCGAAAGCGUGGGGAGCGAACAGGAUUAGAUACCCUGGUAGUCCACGCCGUAAACGGUGGGUACUAGGUGUGGGUUUCCUUCCUUGGGAUCCGUGCCGUAGCUAACGCAUUAAGUACCCCGCCUGGGGAGUACGGCCGCAAGGCUAAAACUCAAAGAAAUUGACGGGGGCCCGCACAAGCGGCGGAGCAUGUGGAUUAAUUCGAUGCAACGCGAAGAACCUUACCUGGGUUUGACAUGCACAGGACGUGCCUAGAGAUGGGUAUUCCCUUGUGGCCUGUGUGCAGGUGGUGCAUGGCUGUCGUCAGCUCGUGUCGUGAGAUGUUGGGUUAAGUCCCGCAACGAGCGCAACCCUUGUCUCAUGUU